rfam:Stegodyphus mimosarum contig67267, whole genome shotgun sequence.
GCCUUCGUGGUGUAAUGGUCAGCACACACGGCGCGUAUUCGAGAGGUCCAUAGUUCGAGUCCUGGCGAGGGCA